CUCUUCGUCGCUAGUCCGCCAAGCGAUCCAUGGUCUUUCUGCUCUGGCUGCCCCCGCCGCGAGCAAAGAGGACGGGAGGAAAGAGGUUGAAUUGCAUCGUUACAUCACCGGUUACUUAACCGUGGACAUAUCAGAAGAGCACA